CGCUGCAGAAGCCUUCUGUCCCCUGCCUGCCCCGGAAAGCGGUGACAUCCCGGGGCUUUCCGCUCGCUGGAAGCCCCCCAGGAUCCUGUUAAGACGCCCCCGCAGAAGACGCGGGGCCUCGCCACACAUCGGGGGCCGAAGAGGACCUGGCGGGCUCCCCUCCCCGCCCCCACUGGGCGCCCAGCCUCCGGACUGCCUUCCUCAGGGACCCCGGGGCUCCCCAGUACGGGGGCGCGGCGCCUGGCUCCCCGGGCGAGAGGCGCCGGCGAAGUUCCCACCUGAGCCGGCGGCCGGAGAUCGCGGGAGAGCCCAAUCACGGGGCGAGCUGGACCUGGCUGUGAUCAUUUAUAAUCCUUGACUCCUCCGCUCCGCCACUUGUCAAGAUGACAGGGGUCAUCCGUGAAUAACACUUCACGCUGAUGAAUGGCUCUUGCCGGCUUUCGGCUCUGAUGAGGGGUCUGCCCGCCGCCGAUUGAAAACACUAAUGAACUUACUGCGCCAUUUGAAAUUCACACGCACCAACAAAAUGGGGGGUGGGCAUUUCAGGUCAGCUGAGUCACCCGAGGAGGUGGCAGUGCAAGACACUG
rnacentral:lncRNA from 1 species